rnacentral:tRNA from 1 species
CAAAUUAUAAAUUUUAAAAUUUUUAUUUACAAUAAAAUAUUUAGUUGUUAAAUUCAACUUAAUUUGA